GCCGGGUGUGGUGGUGCAUGCCUGUAAUUCCAGCUACUUAGGAGGCUGAGGCAGGAGAAUUGCUUGUACCUGGGAGGCGGAGGUUGCAGUGAGUCAAGAUUGUGCCAUUGCACUCCAGCCUGGGUGACAAAGUGAGACCCUGUCUCAC
rnacentral:SRP_RNA from 2 species